rnacentral:rRNA from 1 species
UACGUAGGGUGCAAGCGUUAUCCAGAUUUACUGGGCGUAAAGCGCACGCAGGCGGAUGAUUAAGUCAGCUGUGAAAGCUCCCGGCUCAACUGGGAAGGGUCGGCUGAAACUGGUCGUCUGGAGGGCAACAGAGGAGUGUAGAAUUGCGGGUGUAGUGGUGAAAUGCGUAGAUAUCCGCAGGAAUACCAGUGGCGAAGGCGGCACUCGGGGUUGUACCUGACGCUGAUGUGCGAAGGCUAGGGGAGCGAACAGG